UAGGGAAUCUUCCGCAAUGGACGCAAGUCUGACGGAGCAACGCCGCGUGAGUGAAGAAGGAUUUCGGUUCGUAAAACUCUGUUGUUAGAGAAGAACAGCGCAUAGAGUAACUGUUAUGCGUGUGACGGUAUCUAACCAGAAAGCCACGGCUAACUACGUGCCAGCAGCCGCGGUAAUACGUAGGUGGCAAGCGUUGUCCGGAUUUAUUGGGCGUAAAGCGAGCGCAGGCGGUUAGAAAAGUCUGAAGUGAAAGGCAGUGGCUCAACCAUUGUAGGCUUUGGAAACUGUUUAACUUGAGUGCAGAAGGGGAGAGUGGAAUUCCAUGUGUAGCGGUGAAAUGCGUAGAUAUAUGGAGGAACACCGGUGGCGAAAGCGGCUCUCUGGUCUGUAACUGACGCUGAGGUUCGAAAGCGUGGGGAGCGAACAGG
rnacentral:rRNA from 1 species